UACGUAGGGGGCUAGCGUUGUCCGGAAUCAUUGGGCGUAAAGAGCGUGUAGGCGGCCCGGUAAGUCCGCUGUGAAAGUCGGGGGCUCAACCCUCGAAUGCCGGUGGAUACUGUCGGGCUAGAGUGCGGAAGAGGCGAGUGGAAUUCCUGGUGUAGCGGUGAAAUGCGUAGAGAUCGGGAGGAACACCUGUGGCGAAGGCGGCCGUCUGGGCCGACCCUGACGCUGAGGCGCGAAGGCGUGGGGAGCGAACGGG
rnacentral:rRNA from 1 species